CAAAAUUUCUAAGGUGUAGAGAGUGAAAAAUAAGAGUUGUAAUUGGUGAGGAGUGUUGUUGAAGAAAUAAAAUAGUGUGUGUUUUGUGUGUUUUAUUUGUUAAUUCUCCAACAUGUAAUUCUCUGCAGGGGCAAUAUCACCAGCAAAUGAAGGCGAACAGGCCUGGUUCUAACACUCUUAGCAGUGCUGCCCAAUUUAUACAGAAUUUUGACAUUUUAAGAAUCUGACUCUAUGUCAAGAAAUCAAGUUCAUUGAUUCUCUGUUAAAUUUCUUGAAUGUGCUGAAAAAUUUAAGAUGGAGAGGUUAGGCAAUUCGUGCUUGUCAGAGUGAGUGAGCCUAUAAGGCCUCAUAUAAUCCAAAACCGGGACCAUGACCGGUUCAGUUGCCUGUCUAGCAAAUAUUAACUUUUCGAGUUCUCUUUUCUAUAAAGUGCAUCAAAGCUUUAUACCUUUUUCAGGUGAACAAGAAGAGACACGCUUCGUAUAUUCAUUUCUAUCUAAUAAAUAACAUGGUGCGUCCGGAAACCUUCAAUUGGAUGCAUACAGUUCUGCUGCGACAAAGCAUACAUUGACUCUAGGAUUAUACAAGCCAGGGACCGUGUUAUGAGCCUAACAACAAUUACUCCCACGCUUCAGUUGUCACGCAUCUCUACAAGUCCAAUAACAAGCUAACCCACACAUAUGAUUUCAUGCAGCGUGGUCUGAUUAUCUCUCAGGACCCACGUAAACUUGAAAAUUUCCCUUUUUGCCACUAAAUUAUUAUCUAUAAACUUACACUUUGAAUCUGCAUUCUAUAUAUCAAAACUAAGAACGUAAAGAUAUAAUAUACACGAUUGUCAUGUCUUAUUGUGUAGCUGUUGGAAAAUGCAUAUAUGAACAUGCUAAUGGGGAGGAAAUCCUUUAGUGAUUUUUCAUAUUAAAUAAAAUUGGAUGAUUGAAAAGUAAAAUUUUAACUUGCUUAUAGCUAAUGAAUUGUAUGUGCUUCCGUAUGAAUUUAUGAGCUUUCUCACUGGAAAUAAACAAACAUCGAUUCGCUGAUUUUAGUGCCAUGAUGAUGCCAUUAUGGAUGAGUAAGGGUAUCACAAUUUCAAAUUAAAACUUCUUUGAUGAGAUUGAAGACAAAACUGUCACAGGCACAUGGGAAGAGGUAUAUUCAGAUCCUAUUUAAUUUUCCGUCGGACCGAUCACAAGAGCUCGAGCAAAGAAAUUCAAAGAAGCGCUUAAUGGGUUGAUUCAAGCAACUUGGGCUCAAUCAAAUUCGUGGAGGCCUGUUAAAGGAAUCACACACGAUAAAUGCAUGAUUCAGACUCUUGAAGUUUUCAAAUAAUCACUUCCAUGAAAUAGGAAGUUGGCUUGCAUAUUAUGGUAAGAAAAUAUAUUAUUUUCCUUUUACGGAUACUUUCUCGUUUCUUAAGGAGGCUAGUGGAUAGACAAAUCAGUCAUUUCUCUUUUAAUUGUCGAGUUUCCAUUCUAAUUAAUGCAAGACCUUUAAGCCGAUUAGGAUUCUGAUUUGAUUUCGAUUUUUUCCUUAUUUUCUUUAGAUUAGGAUUCCGAUUUGAUUUUGCUUUAGGAUUUAUUUCCAAAAUUUCUUGUAACCAACCCUAUAUAUUGUACUCGCAUCCAAUAAAUAGAGAAGAUUAGUUUUGAAUCUAGCGAUUAGGUAUGGUUACACAUGCACAAGGAACGAUUUCCAAAACGAAGGAAAUCUAAGUUAUUAUCUUCAAGGGAUGGUCCUUUACAAGUUUUGUAAUGGAUUAAUGAUGAUGCAUAUAAACUAGAUUUGUCUAGUGAGUACAAUGUAAGUACUACUUUUAAUGUUUUUAAUUUGAGUCCUUUUGAUGCAAGUGAUAAUUUUUUAGGACAAAUCCUCUUCAAGAGGAGGGGAAUGAUGAGAUUGAGGACAAAAUUAUUACAAACAAUGGGAUGAG
rnacentral:lncRNA from 1 species